rnacentral:rRNA from 1 species
UACGUAGGGGGCAAGCGUUGUCCGGAUUUAUUGGGCGUAAAGAGCUCGUAGGCGGCUUGGCAAGUCGGGUGUGAAAACUCCAGGCUCAACCUGGAGAUGCCACUCGAGACUGCUAUGGCUAGAGUCCGGUAGGGGACCACGGAAUUCCUGGUGUAGCGGUGAAAUGCGCAGAUAUCAGGAGGAACACCGGUGGCGAAGGCGGGUCUCUGGGCCGUAACUGACGCUGAGGAGCGAAAGCGUGGGGAGCGAACAGG